GACGAACGCUGGCGGCGUGCCUAAUACAUGCAAGUAGAACGCACAGUUUAUACCGUAGCUUGCUACACCAUAGACGGUGAGGUGCGAACGGGGGAGUAACGCGUAGGUAACCUGCCUGGUAGCGGGGGAUAACGAUUGGAAACGAUAGCUAAUACCGCAUAAUAUUAAUUAUUGCAUGAUAAUUAAUUGAAAGGAGCAAUUGCACCACUACCAGAUGGACCUGCGUUGUAUUAGCUAGUAGGUGAGGUAACGGCUCACCUAGGCGACGAUACAUAGCCGACCUGAGAGGGUGCUCGGCCACACUGGGACUGAGACACGGCCCAGACUCCUGCGGGAGGCAGCCGUAGGGAAUCUUCGGCAAUGGACGCAAGUCUGACCGAGCAACGCCGCGUGAGUGAAGAAGGUUUUCGGAUCGUAAAGCUCUGUUGUUAGAGAAGAACGGGUGUGAGAGUGGAAAGUUCACACUGUGACGGUAUCUUACCAGAAAGGGACGGCUAACUACGUG
rnacentral:rRNA from 1 species